rnacentral:lncRNA from 1 species
CAAUUGGAGACGACGGAGAGUCAAGCGGAUGUCCAGGAGGAGCUCUUGGGACAGACGGCGCGGGCGGCCCGGCGUCUCCUGUCUCUGGCAGGACUGUGAGGCGGCACUUAGCGCCCUGGUCGCUCGCGCCCCGCCGACGCCUCCUUUUUCUCUCCCUACCUCUGCGCUCUGCGGCCGCCGCUGAGAUCUGGGACGGCGGCACAUCCAGCCCGGGAGACGACUGGCUAGGAAAUAGAACGGUAAACCAGAGCUGCUAAUUACUUUAAGAAUCUGACUACUCUAGGUACCUCAGAUGAGUGGAAUUAUGCAGUAUUUGUCCUUUUGUGGGUACAACUAAUUUGACAGGCAGUAUGAUAAGGAACAAUCUGAAUGACACGUAAACAGGAGGGGGUAAAUUCCAAGCACAGCCUGAAUGAGAAGUACAACUCAUUUCCUGUAACCUAGAUGCCUUUUUAACACAUCUAUGCAGUCUCCAUGUGAAACCAGGUGCUGUUCCCAAAGGAGAAAACACUGCCCUCCAGUGGUCUUCAAUGAAGAAAUGGAAAUAGUUUCAGGUGGAAACCAGGCUUCUUGGAAGACUUCAAACUAUGCCAAAUGGUCUGAUUUCACCAUAGAGAAUGUUAUACUAUUAAUUGCCAAUUUGCAUAUGUGUGCAGCUGCUGUUUUGGCUCUGAACUCAAUCCGAUAAGCUUGCUGGAGGUAUCGCAGAGCACUUGGCAGCUUUCCUAUUUGAAAAGAAAGCCUCUCCCCUCUACAGAACAGCUGAUCGUCUAUCAGCGAUAGACCCUGAUGGCGUGAAUUACAAUUACACUACUUUUCACACUAAAUCUGGGUGAUAGCUACUUGGAAAGAAGUUUCAUCAUUUUUUACCACAAACUGGAAAAAGAAUUACAUGGUCAUGCUGUGCUUUUAAAGGCAGUUUGGUUCACUUUUGUCUAUUUAACACCUAAUUCCAAGAAGUCCAUAGGCAUCUAGAGAUCUGAAGAGAUGUUCGAGAAGCCCCAAGACGUUCCUUGCGGAAGGAGAACGGAAGAAAGAAAAUUACGGGCGGAAAAAGGAAAUCUAAGCUGAGACAACUUAAAACUCAAAUGAGAUGCAUGAAAGCACUUGUCAUCCUGACACCAUAUUGAGAAACAUGAUCAGAUUCUUUGCUGAAGAAUGCAGCUGUAUUAAAGGAAGAAAGAAAACCAAGCUACAGCUCCUUAUAAUUCAACAAGCAUUUAAAAGAUUUAUAAAGAUGGUGCAAUUAUGUAUUUAAGCUGCUUCAACACAAGUUCUUGCCUUUCACUCCCACCCUGUGGCUUACACUGGUAUUACAUCUAUUCUGACAUUUAAAAAUCAACAUUAAAGAACAUAUUGUAAUAAUGUAUUCUAUGGUUUAAAUAUUUAAAAAAUUUUACAUCAUACCUAGAAAGUGUUGUGUACUUUCUAAAGCUUAUAAACUGAAAAGGAUUUGAAGAAUCCUAAUACAGAAUCAUAAGUUAUAAUUCAUCCAAAAUUGUAUAGUUCUUAAAUUUCAAAUCCAAACCAGUGGAUAUCUGUCUUUAGUGACAUUUAGAUUUUAUUCAAUUAAGGUCAUUGUAGCUAUUAUAAAUGGAAGAUUUUACUUCAUUGUGUCUUAUCACUGAAGUACUUCACUCUUGCUUUUCAAAAGAUUUCUUUCAAUUUCUUCAGAGUCUUAUUUGUUCUCUAAGACAAAGACUUGAUUUCAGUUUGUUUUUCUUAAAAUUAAUAUCUUCUCCAAUUUAUUUCCCAGUUUUUUCUAAAUAAAUACUUUAAAUAUAUAGAGUAUUAUUUUUAUAGUAUCUCAGAAUUAGUAAAAUAAAAUCUUGCCAAUACAA